UGGGAUGUGGUCUAACGGCAUGACACCCGGCUGUUAACCGGGACGAUGUAGGUUCGAAUCCUACCAUCCCAGCUA
rnacentral:tRNA from 1 species